UACGAAGGGGGCUAGCGUUGCUCGGAAUCACUGGGCGUAAAGGGCGCGUAGGCGGGUCUUUAAGUCAGGGGUGAAAUCCUGGAGCUCAACUCCAGAACUGCCUUUGAUACUGAGGAUCUUGAGUUCGGGAGAGGUGAGUGGAACUGCGAGUGUAGAGGUGAAAUUCGUAGAUAUUCGCAAGAACACCAGUGGCGAAGGCGGCUCACUGGCCCGAUACUGACGCUGAGGCACGAAAGCCAGGGGAGCAAACGGG
rnacentral:rRNA from 1 species